GACGAACGCUGGCGGCGUGCCUAACACAUGCAAGUCGAACGGGGUGAUUUCCUUCGGGAGAUCACUUAGUGGCGAACGGGUGAGUAACGCGUGAGGAACCUGCCUUUCAGUGGGGGACAACAGUUGGAAACGACUGCUAAUACCGCAUAACAUACACGGACCGCAUGAUCUGUGUAUCAAAGCUUUAUGUGCUGAAAGAUGGCCUCGCGUCUGAUUAGCUAGUUGGUGGGGUAACGGCCCACCAAGGCGACGAUCAGUAGCCGGUCUGAGAGGAUGAAACGGCCACAUUGGGACUGAGAUACGGCCCAGACUCCUACGGGAGGCAGCAGUGGGGAAUAUUGGGCAAUGGGGGAAACCCUGACCCAGCAACGCCGCGUGAAGGAAGAAGGCCUUCGGGUUGUAAACUUCUUUUAGCAGGGACGAAUACGUGACGGUACCUGCAGAAAAGCAACGGCUAACUACGUG
rnacentral:rRNA from 1 species